GACGUCGAAUAUCGACGUCGUAAACACGAUAAACUUUGGUGUUUAUGACGUCGAUAUUCGACGUAAUAAACACGAUCAACUUUGGCGUUUAUGACGUCGAUAUUCGACGUCAUAAACACGAUCAACUUAGAUGUUUACGACGUCGAUAUUCGACGUCAUAAACACGAUCAACUUUGGUGUUUAUGACGUCGAUAUUCGACGUC